AGCUCUUAAUAGGGCCAGUGCGAAGUCUUAAGUACAAAGGUGCUUGCCGCUAAGCCUGAAGACCUGAGUUCUGUUCCCGGAGCUCACAUGGUGUGAGCAGAGAACUGACUCCCACUAGCUGUCCUCUGACCUCCACAUAUGUACAAUGCCUCCCCUCCACAAUAAAAUGUAAAAUGGAAUAAGAAAAGAAAGAAAGAAGCAGACAAAGGCUCUUACCUCCUUUUCCAGAAUGUUCUGCAUGUGUGUGGGCGCUUGUGGACACACUGGCUGUUCAUCAGCACUUAAACUUGCUCAAGUCUGCUGAGCUAAAACCCCAUUCAGCCUCCAGCCUCUAGCCCUGACAGCCAGGCCUGCUCAGUGCCUCCGCCCUUCAAGCCUCAGCCUCUCUCCACUUGACAAAUGCUGUAUCCCAGCUCCCUCCCAGUUGGAAGACUCCUGCCAGGAAGAAUUGGGGUAGGCUGUGGGCCAGGGCUCAGGAGACCUAGGAAGAAAACAAACCACAUUCUGGGAAAGCUGAAAUUUACAAGAAUCACUAGGUCCCUCCCCAAGGAAGCAGCAGACAACUGCUGGGGGAGGACACUGACCAGCCAUGAUGCUGCCUAGCAACCAUGUCAGGGAGACUGCCACCUGUCUAGCGGCCUGCAAAUGGUGCAGGGGCUCCAGGGUUGCACUUUCAUGAGUUGUCACUUGUGUUACAGAGGGCUUUUUGGUAUCACCCCUGCUCUGUGUAAGUCAGCCCUCACCAAAGGUCGGGUCAGAAGUAACUGCA
rnacentral:lncRNA from 1 species